rnacentral:lncRNA from 1 species
CUCAGACUAGACAGUCCUUCCUCCAAGAUGCCUGAGCCGUCCAGCGUGCGCUGUUAGCCUCAGCUCAGCCUUUAGCCAGUUUCCUUGGCAGCAGUUCUCUCAUCUCAGACAAACGUGGAUCCGGUUGGCCUGCCUUCCUGUCUGUCUCUCACUCGGAUGUAAGCUCCUUGAGUGCUAGGUCUGUGUGCCUGCGGUUUCUCCAGAGCUUGGUAAAGAAGGGACGAGAACCAAAUGGCCUCCAAGGGCACAGUUGUCCCUUCAGAGGACCACCCUCACCCGAGCCGCUGAUGACACCUGGACACCUGCAGAAGCCCCUCUCCGGUCUCCUGGUCUCCUCCCCUACGUGCCUCUCCCCUCCACAUCCAUUCUGCUCAUCUCUCACUCUCUCCCUUGGCACCCCCGUGGCUUCCUGUUGGACAUCUAGUCCCGCCGCCCGGUGGCUCAGUCUGAAACAAGCCCCACUCGCUGGCCUCAGGCCCCUGGCCUUUCUUCUCCCAGUUAGGCUCUCCCUCUUCCGUUCUCAUGGCUGGUCCCUGUGUCAUCCAGGUCUCAGCCCGAAUGUGGCCUCUUCAGAGGGCCCUCCCGGACCGCCUUAGAUCCUGCCACAGCAUUUUUUAUUCUGUGGACUUGCUCGCUCACUGCCCACCUCCCCUCCCCUUCCCACAAGAAGUCAGCCCCCGGAGUGCAGCUGUCAUGACAGCUGGCCUCGGGAUCCCGGGCCCGUGCCUGGCACACAGCAGGUGCUCAGGAGAUGCUUGCCGGGUGAAUGAAUGAGGCACCAGAGCGAUCUCCUAGCCACAAGCGUUCACAGUCUUAAAUGCACAAAGUCAGCGAUCAGUCCUGAGUGGUUCACUCUCCGGGGAUCUGAAGCCGACGACCUUGGACAGUCAUUUGACCUUUCUGAGCUGUGAUUUCCUCUUCUAUGAAAUAAAAAGUUGAACUAG